GCCGCUUCUCUGCCUUUUGGCUAAGAUCAAGUGUAGUAUCUGUUCUUGGCGUGGGGGGGGGAUGCAUCCUAGCUAAGGGAUGCAUUGAUCUGCCCCUC
ensembl:snRNA U2 U2 spliceosomal RNA